rnacentral:sRNA from 1 species
GCCAAAGGAUUGCCUUGAGUAGCAUCCUCAGGAACAGUCUGUCUCCUUUGAGACAGGGUCUCUGGUUCAUCUGGAACUCACCCACAAAGCUAGACUGGAUCGCCCUGAGCCUCGGUGACCACCCAUCUCCAGCCCCCAAGCACUGGGGUUGCAAAUGAAUGUCACCACGCCCAGCUUUUCCUGUGGAUGCUAGGGGGCUAACUCCAGUCCUAGUGCUUACACCUCAGGCCCUUAACCAACCCAGCCAUCACUCCAGGUGCAAGAGCUUUUGAUCCCUGGAUUUUUCCACUUAAUGCUUCCGGACCUCAGCUGACCACAGAGAAUAGAAGUCUUAGGUAGUAAAAGCACAGAGAAAGGGUAGAUGCUGUCAGUCGCUGGCUGUGUGGGGCUGAAGUAGAAUGGGGGAGAAGAAGGAGAAGGAGCCAAAAGAUGGAGUUAGCAGCUGGGGUAGAAACAAGGACAGAGCCAAAGGCUAGCCCUGUGAGUUUUCCUCAUGUGCUCUGUGCUUAGAGACUGACUCUGGGCUGGACACCUACCCCUUAGGCCUCCCUUACACUAAAGGCAGAUUCCCUUGCUCUUCUUUCUUGGAAAAAGAAGCGCGGCAGCUGCAAGCCUCUCACAGCCACUGGUCCAUUUCAUCAGCUGAAAUGCUGGCUCAUUGUGGCAGCAGAUGGAGCUUCCGGCAGGAAGUAGUUGGGCCUUGUGGGGAUAGCUAGCAACUGCAACCCUGAUCCUCGAUCCUCGAGCAGAGCAGGUACUGGAGCUGAAGGAGGGUCUUUGUGUCCCGGGAAGGCAGGAAGGAUGACCAAUGACCCUGGUGUGACCAGAUCUGGGAAGUUCCCCCUGGAUAUGAGACUGUCAGUGCUACAUCCAGGGAUGACAAACCGGCCAUCCUGUCCCUGAGACUGUCCCUUAGCCAAACAGCGCUGAGAACUUACCCAGUUUUUCCUGCCAUAGGACCGUUUGGAUUCCUUGCCUAAAGUGGAGACUGGCAACAGCCAAGCCAAACUGGGACUCUGUCUCUCCUCUUUAUGCUUUGCAAACUGAUUCCACAUGCAUGGACCUCAAACUCAAACCAUCGCCUAUGUUAGCAAUGCUUUUGAGCAUAAGAGAUGGAGCGUGGAUAACAUAAGCAGAGAGCCUGUGUAUUUUCCCAAGACGAGAAGGUCACUUCUAGACUCCGCAACAUGAUGCUAUCAAGAGUUGUCUGCCAAUUUCCUGGUCUCCCCUCAUGGGAGAAGACAGCUGCUAAAGCUCUGGAGAUCUAGUUUCCUCCCAGGCAGAGAGAAGAAGAAAAUGGGAUGCCGCUAGCACGCAGAACUAUUUACAUUUCGUGGGACACUUCCAGCUGCUUGGCCUUCAGACAAACCAAGUGUUUAGUCUUCUGGUCUUUAGAGAAGAGGGUCAAAAGCAUGAGAAAUUUCAGAACAAUUUCACCCCCAGUGUCUGCCAGAGAGUGACCAAAGGAUGCCUGAGUGACUAGGAAUACCAUAAAGCCCAUGAGUCUGGACCACGGCACUGCUGGUUGCUAUGGAUACCAAGGCCCAUCAACACCAUGGGCAUCAGCAGCACAGGGGUGAAGUCAUAAAAGACAGGAAAGUGCCCUGCAGGCUAACCACUCUUCAACACCAUGAGCCCCGAGAAUGAAAGACCAACCUGGGUGUCAUGGACACCACCCUGGCACAUAAUGGCCCAAGAAAGACCCCUGGGCGGGUCUGGGUGAUGAAUGGAGACACCCUCAGCCAAAUCUUUGAAGUCUCAACAUCCUGGGUUGAAUCUGGACCCAUGGACAUAGGUAUUUGGUCAAGAUGAGGACCAAACAUGGCUAUCCAAGGACAUCAUCCCAGUCAGGAAACAUGAAGGAUGGAGGUCCUGUGACAUUUUAUAUAAAGUCUCCAAGGCACACCGUCUCUGAAACAAAGAAAUCAAUGCGAAAGGCCAGUUUGGAUGUGUGCUAUGCAUAGGAACACAGCCCCCACAGGAGAGAACGCUUGUUUGGGGUUUGAAGGGGGGAAGAAGACGGCGCUCAGGAUAGUCGAGGAAGCUGGGGACAAUGACUGUCUGAGGAGCCAGGACCCAGAGCAAGAUCUGAGGACACACGGAACCUUAGUACUUUGUAUGUUGGCUGACUAUGAGGACUUUUAAUACUGAUGUUUGUCACCACGUGAUGGCAAGAUGGCUGCCCUGCACCAGACACCAUGGCUUCACUCAAAGAUCCAGGUGUGUGGAAAGAGGAUGUCUGGGCCUGCAGCCUCCCAUGAGCCAAGCACCAGCAGCAAAGGUCCCUGAGUCCCAAAGCACCGUGGCCUGCCUAGAUGUUACUCAAGAUGCCCUCUUCCCCUGCAGCCCACAGGGAACUGACAAAGGCCUCAGUAUACGGUCUCUUAAUCCAACUCUACUGCUUCUUUUCUCCUGCGGACCUUCAGGCCAGUGGUACCCCGCCUCCUUUAAUUCACUGUAUAAAUGCAUUUGUUGUUGCUGCUGCUGUCUGCGGUAGUGGGGAUCAUGCUAGGCAAGUGCUGCUGCCUCUGAACUACUCUGUGCUGCAUAAAGGCCUCGAGCUUGGGAUCCUUUUACCUCCGCAUUCUGAGGAGCUGGAAUGUUGGCCAGUGCGCCACACUUCCUUCUUCUUCUCCCUAAGCCACAGUGGUUUCCCUUGGUCCCUAAUAGUCCCCAAGGUCUGACUCAGGACCAGGCCUAUAGCAAGUGAUCACUAAUGCUCUGUAAGGUAAUGGCCUCUGCUCCUCAGCCUGUGGCUCCUUGCCCAUGACACACA